UUUUAUCACGCAAAACCUAUAAUCCUUAAAGCAGAGUGAGAAACAGAAGUACUGAAUAUAAAAUACGAACCACUCUAAUUACACAAGUUGCAUAAGCCGCCUAAAUAGUACAAAGUCCUCAUCUAUGCAAUAUGGAUAUGAUGAAGACAAAUGAGCAGGAACGUUGGUGUCAGCGUUGUGGAAACUGGAAUACAAUGGAAGACAUUUUGUUACCUUAUAUAAAUCAUAAACAGAUGAUGUCACGUUAUCCUGCCCACUAUUUUCAGCACUGCGUGUUCAAAAUACUUAAACCAAUAACUUUGUGUUUAAAGUCCCAUUUUGAAACCUAGGUAUUGUAAACGGAUUGGUACAGAGCAAAGGAUACCCACGGAGUGGGUUUGGAAAACAAUUAAAUUUGCAGACAAGAUUUCUGACAUACGGUAGAGAUAUGUUAAUGAAAUGCUAUUGAUAAAAAGCGUAUUUGGGGUAGGUAGUUAGUAACAGGCAGAGAAAAUAUUUACUUACAGUGGCCCUUUAAAGUAAACAUAAAAGGAAACAGAUUAAAAAAACAAACAAAAACCAGAAAACAAUUUACUUGCUAAAUGAGCACUUAGAAAUUCUCAGUGUAGCCACUGCCAGCUACCAUUACAGAUAUUAAGUUCUAUUGUCAUAUGCUUUUUGCAUCAAAAGUCUACUGAGCACAGGCAAUAAAUCGACUACAGUUAUAAUAGGUGUCUCCUAGCAACAUGCCAAAGGAAAAUCUGCUCAUUUGCCUUCCUGUAGCCCUUGUGGGGCAGUGACAGGAAGCAAUGGAACCCUUCACAAAUGAAGUUUAAAAAAAAAAAGAAAGAAAAAAAAAGGUAAAAUCCUUUUAAAACCAGGACUAAAACAUAUUGCAAUGAUUUAAAUGACGUAUAACCAACUGUUUAGUGUUUUUGUUUAUUACAACAAUAAAACUGAUUGUUUUAUAUCUAUUUAAUAUAAUCCCAAAUGUGCAUCUUUCAUCCUAGCUCAAAUAUUAUAAUAGCUUCAAACUCUUCUAGACAUCAGUAGCGGAGACCCUUGAGGUCGCUUUCCUUACUGUGGAAACAUCUGACCAUGAUUCUUCUGAGGAAGUCUCAAAAGUACAGGGGGCUUCAGUAUUAGAUAAUCUGGAGUUUAUAGUUGCAGGGUCUUCAAAAAACGAGGAAGGUAUAGUUGCCAAUAUAAAAAGAAAAAAACAGAAGAGGCAGUAGGGGUAGGAAAGGAAAAAGACAAAAAACGGUAUCAAACCAGGGCCAAUCGGACUCAGGUCCGCAAAUAUGUUUGAAAAAUGUAGUUAACUUAUCCCAGUAUAAACUUUCUAGUGCUGAAACUGAAGUUUUGAGCCUGGGUCUAAAUUUUUCUCCCACUACCCAUUUCAGCCUCUUCGACACCAUCCUGGAUGUAAACAAAUUUGAUAGAAAAUGAACACUUAAAAAACAUUUUUUUGUAGCCAGACAGGAUGAUGCAGAGGAAAGUCCUGUUUAUGGGGAGGUCCCUAUGAACAACAGGUCGCAACAGAAUAUGUUAGAUUUUAGGGAUCAGUGUGCAGUGUUGGAUAUGUUUACUUUAGAGGAAAACAAUUUGGGAAUAGGAACUGAUCUUACAUCUAUACCUACCCAAAGUGUAUCUAAAAGCAGAAGCACAUUUUACCCAGUACAGACUAGGGGCAAAAGUAUAGACAUAUUCCAGAGAACAAUUGAACAGAAACUAGAAUCUUUAGCUAAAAUAACUGAAAUGAAACAAAAGAGAAUUUAAAACAAAUAUCGCAAUAACCUCACAAGUAAUCAAUUCAAAGCCCUUUCUAUUCAUAAGGAGAAUCACAACAUUGUAAUUAAAGCAUCCGAUAAGGGUGGAGAUGUUGUGGUUAUGGACAGAGAAUAUUACCAGUUUGAGGCUAUGCGACAGUUGAGAGACAAAGAAGUGUAUGAGAAAUUAGGGGAAUAAUCCCACUAAACAGUUCAGAUUGAUCUUGGAAAGAAUUUUGAAUUUAGCUUGUCUGAUUGGCAUUUUAACAGAACAGAGAAAAGAACAGUUUUUGCCAAUAGCACCUAAUAUUCCUAUAUUCUAUUUCCUCCCUAAAUUGCAUAAAGAUCCUGUACAGCCUCCUGGUAGGCUGAUCAUAUCGGGGGUUGACUCCCUUUUGGAGCCGACCUCGGAGCUGAUCAACACUUUUUUGCAACCUCUAGUGGCAGAACUUUUGAGCUACAUACGGGACUUUACCCAAGUACUUAACAAUAUGCAGAGUAUACAGUGGAAAUCUACAAAUAUAUUUGUCACUGUUGAUGUGACAUCUUUGUACACCUCCAUCUCACAUCACAGGGGUUGCAGGCCAUUUCAGAUAUACUUGACAAAAUGUCUAUCUAUUCUGAAGACAUCAAACACUUUUUAAUAGUGUUAACACAUAAUUAUUUUUUAUUUGAGGGGUCUUACUAUCUGCAGAGACGUGGGACAGCGAUGGGGGAAAAAUUUGCCCCCAGUUAAGCCAACCUGUACAUGGGUUGGUGGGAGAUGCUCCACGUCUAUGCAGAUAGUAACCCCUUCAAAGAUCAUAUUAUUUAUUAUGGCCAGUACAUUGAUGACCUCUUGUUGGUGUGGGAUGGAGAUGAACAAUCUGUUCUCUCCUUUUUUGAAUAUCUGAAUCACAAUGAUUUUAAUUUAGGCUUUGUGGGUGGUCAGCAUGACUCCAAAAUCCAAUUUUUGGAUACAGAAUUAUCUGUGAAUCCUGAGGAUUAUACCAUUAUAACAGAUUUGCAUAGAAAACCUACAGGGGGUAACACGAUACUUAAUUACAAGUCAUGUCAUCCCAGAAAUGUUGUUAGAGCCAUACCUAAGGGUCAAUAUACCCGUACUAAACGGAUCUGUUCAAAUGAUGCUUUAUAUAAACAACAAUGUGAUAUAUUAAAGGAGAGAUUACUAGCGAGGGGUUAUAAUGAGAAACUGUUAGGUUCAACCAAAACAUUAGUAGAUGAUAUCCCACGUGAUUCACUCCUAUCUUAUAGAAAUAAAAAAGGAAGGAAAGGGAAAAAAAUGUUUUGGGUAAAAUAAUCUUCAGCACACCUUACAGCCUAGAGUUCAAAGAUGUGUGUAAUAUAAUCAAAGAAUGUCUUCCUAUCCUUAAUGUAGAUCCUAUUCUGACACAGGUAGUAUCUAUGGGCAUACAGUGUGUAUCCAUAAAGGUCAAAACAAUAGGGAAUAUUGUAGCUCCUAUUUACCUGAAAGAAAAAUGACCACUUGGCUAAAUAGGAGGUCUGUUUUUUUCAAAUGCAGGGCCAGAAUUUGUAAAACUUGUGAUUAUGUAGUAGAGGGCGAAACUUUUGCAUCAUAUGUAACUAAUAGGGAAUAUAAUAUCAGAUUUAGUUUGAGUUGCAAGUCUACAUAUGUCAUAUAUAUUUUGACCUGUAGGGGGUGCUUUAUACAAUAUAUAGGUAAAACCAAGAGACCCCUAAAGGUGAGGGCCCUAGAGCACAUUAGGGAUAUUGAAGACCCUAAUGUAUUCACCCCAGUGGCUUCACAUUUCAAGAAUGAACAUGGAGGUGAUCCCUCAUUGGUGUCCAUUCAAGCUAUAGACCAUGUCCCGUUUUCUAAAAGAGGAGGUGACAGGGAGUAUAGGUUAAGCAAAAAGGAAGUGAAAUGGAUUUUCUAUCUUAAUACCAGAUCUACCCUUAAGUCUUAAUAUGGAGGCUGACGUCAACCUCUUUAUAUAAAAAUUGGCCUUGAAAAUUGGCUUUAUUUGUGUAGGAAAUUGCUUAUUUCUAAUUCUUAGUCACAAGGAUUUUUAUUAUUAUCAUAUAUUAUGUUUUCAUAUCUAGUAUGCAGAAUUUUUCUAUACAGAUAUUUUUCAGCUUGUACAUAUUAUUGAGUGAUUCGACAUGUUAUACAGUCUCUUAAGGGGUUAAUUUAGUAACAUGUUUUUAAUUAUUGUAUCAGCUAUUUCCCUUUAAGUAGGACUGCAGACUGCAGACAGACUAACCUCUGUAGCAGUGAUCAAGUGCGGUAGCCCCGCAUGAAACGCGUAUGCUGAUCGUUUGCUGUCUGACUGGUCAUCAAUGUUAUUGAAUGACCAGUUUCUGUUUACCUUUUGUUUUGCAACUUAUUUGUUUUUAGUGCACAGUCAUCUAAUAAACGUUUGUUUUUUGAGGAUAUCGUUUCCAGGGUAGCCGAAUACUUUGUUUGUUGUUUGCUGCACGGCUCGCAGUCGACUUUGUGUCCUGGGCGGAGACACCUUUUCCUUGGCUCCUGGACAUCGUUGGAUGUUACGGGUAGGAGUCGUGACAUGGUGCACACGCCGAAGAUACGCUGGUCACUAUACAUCGAACGCUGAAGCUGGAAGAAGAUUAUGUGUAUGGGAUAAUAAUAUACAUAUAAUAUCCUACUGUUUCCAUGAACUAGCAUCAUGUUGACAGCAAUAAGUUUAUAUAAAUCUCACAAGCCCCAAUCAGAAACUGCUUGCUGCAUGAUAUUGAAUCAUACAAACAUGUAACAGGCCUAUAUUGGUGAUAUAGUUACUGGUUGCGCAAAUCCUCUCAACAACUGAGCUCACAGUUAUACAGCAGCUGUGGCUUUUUUGUUUUACAAUAGUGCAUUUUUUAAAACUUUACUUGAACUGUAAAUCAUAAGUAAGUUUACAUUAAACUAUAUAAAUUGUA